CACCGUCGUUGGCCUCGCCUUCUGCCUCCGUCGCGCAGCCACUGUCUCGACAGUGCCAGUUCUGUUCCAUCGUGUCAGCCCUUCGGUCGUGCCCUGUUCCUUUCUUGCUACUGAUCUGCUCUGCUCUGUUCUAGCAUUUAGUUCUAGAACAUAAGAGUAGGUGCACACACACGCAGAACAAAGGCCCCUUCUGGUUGCCUAAUGCUUAGAAAGAAUAAACUACAACAUGAAUUCAGGAAUGAGGUAUCUGAAUGAGGACCUUGGAUAUUGAAGAUCUUGCAAACCUACUACGGAUCUAGAAGCAUGGUUGUGAGAGAUGAUCUUCUUGUCCUUCCAUAUCAAUCUCUUUUGUCAAAAUCAUCUUGUGAAGCUCUUGGUCUGAAUUUGAAAUCCAAUAUUGAUAAUAGAUGAGGCACAUGAUUUAGCUGAUUCAUUCAUCAGCAUGUAUGGCUCAAAAAUUACUUUAUCACAGCUGGAGAAUGCAUUUCCAUGUAGAACGGUACUUUGUGAGAUUCCACAGUCUUUUGGGACCAGCCAACCGGAGGGCAUUAUGGUAAAAGGGGAGAAAAGGUGAACUGGAGGGCAUUAUGGUAAAAGGGGAGGAAAAGUGAGGAGAGAGGAUUAUGUGUGAUAAUAAACUAAUGAAGUGGGAACCUUUGAGGUGGGGAGGGGGGAGAUAUGCCAUGUGAGGUAUGGCUCAUUGCCAAUACCCCAUAGCUUAUGUUGCUUUCUAUAUUUCAAGGAGAACUUUCAUUAUAGUAUUAUACGUUAAUGUCAAUCUUUAGCUCAGUUCAGUUGAACAAUGGAUGAAAAUAAUGUAAUGUUGCAGCUCUAUGUUGAGUUUCCUUAUCUGACUCUGACUUAUGAAAAUACUGUUAGUGUUCUUUU